rnacentral:rRNA from 1 species
UCAGAGUUUGUCAGGCUCAGGAUGAACGCUAGCUACAGGCUUAACACAUGCAAGUCGAGGGGAAACGAUAUUGGAAGCUUGCUUCCGAUAGGCGUCGACCGGCGCACGGGUGAGUAACGCGUAUCCAACCUGCCCACCACUUGGGGAUAACCUUGCGAAAGUAAGACUAAUACCCAAUGACGUCUCUAGAAGACAUCUGAAAGAGAUUAAAGAUUUAUCGGUGAUGGAUGGGGAUGCGUCUGAUUAGCUUGUUGGCGGGGUAACGGCCACCAAGGCUACGAUCAGUAGGGGUUCUGAGAGGAAGGUCCCCCACAUUGGAACUGAGACACGGUCCAAACUCCUACGGGAGGCA